GGGAUGGGGAGGGGGCGGCACAGCGCUGGGUACCGGGGGGAAACCCACCUUGGGACCGGCGAUACCGUCAGCACCGGGGAAACCGCGGCUACCGGGAGCGCCCUGGGAGGGAAGGGAGAGAGGGCUUUAAUUCCGGGCUGCAACCAAAGGAGAAGAGGAGAAAGAAAGCAAAGAUGGAAUAAACCCCCAAAGUCGCAAUGGGCGCUCAUUGCGCUGCGGAGCUGUUGCUGGCCGCCGUUCAGCGCUGAAUCCGCGCAUCCGAGACACGUUGCAGCUCUAAGGCUCCUCCAAUCCGACCCCGGCGGCUCGCAAAGGGUCUGGCCCAUCUCCAGCCCCGAGAUGUGUCUUUAAUUUUUGCAGCAUGACAGAAAAGAAAAGAAUGCCAUUCGCUUC